GACGAACGCUGGCGGCGUGCUUAACACAUGCAAGUCGAACGGAAAGGCCUGCUUUCCCUUGUGGAUUGCGGGUACUCGCGUGGCGAACGGGUGAGUAACACGUGAGUUAUCUGCCCCCAACUUGGGUAUAAGCCUGGGAAACUGGGUCUAAUUCCCGAUAGUACUGCAGGGUGGUGCCUGUGGUGGAAAACGAUUUUCUAGUGGUUGGGGAUGAGCUCGCGGCCUAUCAGCUUGUUGGUGGGGUAAUGGCCUACCAAGGCGGCGACGGGUAGCCGGCCUGAGAGGGUGGACGGGCACAUUGAGACUGAGAUACGGCCCAGACUACUACGGGAGGCAGCAGUGGGGGAUGUUGCACAAUGGGCGGAAGCCUGAGGCAGCGACGCCGCGUGGGGGAUGACGGCCUUCGGGUUGUAAACUCCUUUCGACCGCGAGGAAGCCACCUGGUUGGAAGGGUGGUGACGGUAGUGGUAGAAGAAGCACCGGCUAACUACGUG
rnacentral:rRNA from 1 species